rnacentral:rRNA from 1 species
UUGAGCGAUUUACUUCGGUAAAGAGCGGCGUACGGGUGAGUAACGCGUGGGUAACCUACCCUGUACACACGGAUAACAUACCGAAAGGUAUGCUAAUACGGGAUAAUAUAUUUGAGAGGCAUCUCUUGAAUAUCAAAGGUGAGCCAGUACAGGAUGGACCCGCGUCUGAUUAGCUAGUUGGUAAGGUAACGGCUUACCAAGGCGACGAUCAGUAGCCGACCUGAGAGGGUGAUC